rnacentral:lncRNA from 1 species
ACAUUAUACAGGGCGACAGGCAUGGCAGCAGUUUCUGGUGCACAUGUUGCCUGUCUCCCGGUGACAGAAGAUAACAGAGGACUAAGAGCGCACAUAUACCUCAAGAGCCCUAAGGCUGCCACAGGAGAGUAAACAACUCCACCCAGCACUGCUCCAGGCCGGCUGAUCAACAAGGCACUCAUCCAAGGACCCUGCUAAUGACCUCUCACUCCCACCUCUCAAAGCCUGACCAGCCUCGAACUUCACGCUUCCCAAGAUCCUAAACAAGAUCGGCUCCCAGCUUUGCUGAGGAAAGCUGCCACUGAAGAGAGCUCUGCUUCUUACUUGCAUGAGUAAUAAAUUUACC